rnacentral:rRNA from 1 species
UGUGUAAGCGAAGCGAUAAGUGGAGCGGUGAAAGGCUCAGUAACGGGCGAUUUAUUUGAUCUCCUGGGACGGACAACAUCGGGAAACUGAUGGGAAAACGUCUAAGUUGCAGUUUAUUGAUUGUGACGUAAACCUUUGUGUGCAGGAGAGUAAGAUGCCAUCCUAUCAGUUAGUAAGUAGGGUAAGGGCCUACUUAGACGAAGACGGGUACGGGGAAUGAGGGUUUGAUUCCGGAGAGGGAGCCUGAGAGAUGGCUACCAGGACCAAGGUUAGCAGCAGGCGCGAAAAUUAUCGAAGCCCGCCUAGGGGCGAUAGUGAGGAGACGUGUAUACGAAGUACGUGUAAAGACCGUACUAAUAACUGGAAGUCAAGUCUGGU